AAGUGGGGUCUGGGAAGGGUAAUAUGUAGACGGGCCUUACCCCUACCCGAAAGGGCAGAGAGGCUGUUUCCAAUCGACCCUCGGCACAAAAACAAAAGAGCAUUAGUAACUCCAGCAGAAAUAACGUAAAUAUUUAUCUAAACAUAAGAACCAUCAAUAAAAUAGCAUGCAAUAAUAUCAUACAGUAACUACCAUAAAUAACUACCAUAAGGAAGAC
rnacentral:lncRNA from 1 species